AAUUUUGGACAAUGGGGGAAACCCUGAUCCAGCCAUCCCGCGUGUAUGAUGAAGGUCUUCGUAUCGUAUAGCUCUGUCCUCAGGGAAGAAGAAAGUGACGGUACCUGAGUAGGAAGCCCCGGCUAACUACGUGCCAGCAGCCGCGGUAAUACGUAGGGGGCAAGCGUUGUCCGGAAUUAUUGGGCGUAAAGGGUGCGUAGGCGGCUUUUUAAGUCAGAUGUGAAAGACCACAGCUUAACUGUGGGGUUGCAUUUGAAACUGGAGAGCUUGAGUAUCGGAGAGGGUAGUGGAAUUCCUGGAGUAGCGGUGAAAUGCGUAGAUAUCAGGAGGAACACCAGUGGCGAAGGCGACUACCUGGACGAAAACUGACGCUGAGGCACGAAAGCUAGGGGAGCAAACA
rnacentral:rRNA from 1 species